GAUGAACGCUGGCGGCGUGCCUAAUACAUGCAAGUCGAGCGGACGGACGAUAAGCUUGCUUCCCUGAUGUUAGCGGCGGACGGGCGAGUAACACGUGCAUCACCUACCUAUAAUACGUGGAUAACUUCGGAAAACCAGUUCUAAUACCACAUCAUAUGUUGUACCGCAUGGUUCAAAAGUUCAACACGCUCUUCCUGUCACUAAUAGCUGGAUCCGCGCUGCAUUAGCUAGUUGGUAAGGUAACGGCUUACCAAGGCAACGAUGCGUAGCCGACCUGAGAGGGUGAUCAGCCACACUGGAACUGAGACACGGUCCAGACUCCUACGGGAGGCAGCAGUAGGGAAUCUUCCGCAAUGGGCGAAAGCCUGACGGAGCAACGCCGCGUGAGUGAUGAAGGUCUUCGGAUCGUAAAACUCUGUUAUUAGGGAAGAACAUAUGUGUAAGUAAAUGUGCACAUCUUGACGGUACCUAAUCAGAAAGCAACGGCUAACUACGUG
rnacentral:rRNA from 1 species